rnacentral:snRNA from 1 species
GAAUGUGAGCAAGACCUGGCUGUACCAUGUCACCCCACUGAUCACCAGAGUGGAUUUAGCUGAUCUGGCUGGAUGGGCGGGUGACCCCUCCCAACCUCACCACCCCAUGGGUGUCCCUCUUGAAGUUGUGUGCUGGCUUGGUCAAAGAGGAUGACCCCUCGGAUAGAGGAGGGCCAUUUCCUUGGCCAGGGGUACUCGAGAAGCUGUGCUCCCCUGUUGAAACCCACAAACAAGCUCCCAAGUUAGGUACCAAAGAGCACACCAUUCUUUGUUUACUAACAGUUACUUUUAGGGGCUGGAGAGAUGGCUCAGUGGUCUAAAG